rnacentral:tRNA from 1 species
ACCUGGCUGGCUCAGUAAGUAGAGCAUGGGACUCUUGAUCUUAGGGUUGUGAGUUCAAGCCCCAUGCUGGGUG